rnacentral:lncRNA from 10 species
GGAAGGGGCAGUGGACAUGCAUCCGACUGGAGAUGAGCCCUGUCAGAUCUAGACAUCUACCCCAUGGAAUCAGAAAGAUCUGGCAGAAGUUUCCCACUCUUUCCAUCUGGGGGAGAUGGCUAACCGUAAGGGGGUAUUGUCAUAAGGUCAAUUGAUCAGUUAGGGUGGGUAGGAACAGAUCACAAUGGUGGAAUGUUAUGUCUCCGUAAUGGUGCAAUGAUCCUUCCUUCGCGUAGGGUACCUUAAGUGAGAUGAGAUAUGUGGAAAGGUGAUCGCGUGCUCAAGAAAUGCUAGCUGUGAGGAUUAUUAAGGUUAUUAGGAAUGUGUCACGUUUCUGGUUCUGUCCAAGAUGCAAAGCAACGUGUCUGCAGCAAGACAGGGCAAGCGGGAGAAGGUGGAGCCAGGACCUACCAUUAGAGCUGCUGGGUGGAUGAAAAUAGGGGCUGCCCCUUGUGGGGGUUCUGUGGGGUGGACAGGACACUGCUGGAGUGUGGCAGGCCUUCACUCUUGCUGCCCUUUAGCCUAGGGGACCACCUAGAGGGCCGGAUCUCCUGCCCCGGGGCAAGGCAAGGCAUUCAGGACAGCACAGGUCUGGCCUGCAGACAUUCGCUACCAGGAAGUCUGAUCACAGCAGCAAAUUCAAGCUCUGGGUCUAUCGGUCUCUACUGUAGAAUUAUUUAGUAGAACUAAUGGAAUGAAAUGUCCGCUGGGGAUUCCAACCUCUUUUCUCUCUUUGAUUGACAGUGGAAUCUGGCCCCAGGUUUGUGGUGAUGAGGAAUCAGAUAAACUCUAUAGAGAUGGUUUGAGUGGUUGGGGUCAGGAUGACCACUUCUGAUAGCAACUCAAUCAUACCGAAUUCAUUCACAUUAUCUCAUUGGUUCCUCACACCAACCUGUGUGAUGGGCAGUAACUCAGGUGUGAUGAUUAUUCCCAUUUUACAGAUGAGGAAAGUAAGGCUGGCAGAAGUAAUGGGACUUGUUCAAUGUCACACAACCAGAAGGUUGUGAGGUCUGGGCAAAAAUACAGGAGGUCUGACUUAGAUGCUCCACCUUCCCCA